AUGGAUCAGCUUGACGAGCAAUCGUUCCUGGACGAGCUCAUGUCGCUGCGCCGGGAGGAGGCGCCGUCGCCGGCUCCGUGGCAGGCGUAUCCGGGCAGCGGCAUGAUGACGACGAGCGACCUCCUCUUCUACGGCGGCGAGGGCACCACCGAGGCGAGCAGCGGCAUGGACUUUGCCGGGCCGUUUCAGCAGCCCAUGGCGCCACCGCCGGCCACAUCUCCGCACCGGCCGCACGAGAAGUUCAACUUCGACUGCCUCAGCGAAGUAUGCAACCCUUACGGCAGCUGCGUCGGCGGCGUACCUAAGCCUGGGGUCGUCCACGCGGCUGGCCAGGCGUAUGCCCUCCAGGAUGCCAUGGCGCAGAACGGCACGAGUGGCGGCAAGCUGCAUCACGGUGGUGGCAGGUCGUCGUCGUCCCCGGCGCCGUUCGUGUUCGCAGGUGUCGCCGGGGAGAGCUCGGAGAUGACCAGGGGCGCCUUCUCCGGCGCCCACGCUAGAAGCAAGCUCAACGGUGGCACUACGUCCAAGAACCUCAUGGCGGAAAGGCGGCGCCGGAAGCGUCUCAACGACCGCCUCUCCAUGCUCCGCUCCAUCGUGCCCAAGAUUACCAAGAUGGAUAGGACCUCGAUCCUCGGGGACACCAUAGACUACGUGAAUGAGCUAACCGAGCGGAUCCAAACCCUCGAGGAGGAGAUCGGCGCCACGCCGGAGGAUCUGAACCUGCUGAACACCACGAAGAAUUUCUCCAGCGGUAGCAGUGAGGAGAUGCCGAUGAGGAAUUCCACCAAGUUUGUCAUCGAGAAGCAGGGCGACGGUGGAACGAGGAUCGACAUCUGCUGCGCCACAAGCCCCGGCGUGCUGAUCUCGACGGUGAGCGCGCUGGAGGUGUUGGGGCUGGAGAUCGAACAGUGCGUCGUCAGCUGCUUCGGCGACUUCGCCAUGCAGGCAUCCUGCUCACAAGAGGAAGGGAGGAGCCGUGUGACAAGAACCGACGAGAUCAAGCAGGCAUUGUUCACGAGUGCAGGCUAUGGAGGAAGGUGUCUGUAG
rnacentral:rRNA from 1 species